rnacentral:rRNA from 1 species
CCGAAUGGGGAAACCCACGUGCGUGAUAAACGCACGGACUCGUGUCUCACUUUCGUUCGACACUUUUGACAAAUUGACUAAUUGACUAAUUGACAAGUUAAAUUGUUAAAUUGUUAAGUUGUUAAAUUGUUAAGUUGUUCGUGGCGAGCGGAAGCGAGACACGAGAGUGAACCUGGGGAAGUGAAACAUCUCAGUACCCAGAGGAAAAGAAAAAAUUUUUUUAUUCCUUUAGUAGCGGCGAGCGAAAAAGGAAAAAGCCCAAACCAAGCACAUAACUUUGUUAUGUGCUCGGGGUUGUAAGAAAAUAUCGUUUUAAAAAAGGAGAACAUUUAGGUAGAAAUUGGUUAAAAGAAAUUUCUUGGAAAGGAAUACCAUAGAGGGUGAUAGUCCCGUAUUUAAAAACUUUUCUACGCUCCUAGAUUUUUUCUUGAGUACCAUGAGUUAUGAAAAUCUUGUGGGAAACAGGCUGAACUAUCAGCCAAGGCUAAAUACUAUCCACUCACCGAUAGCGAAUUAGUACCGUGAGGGAAAGGUGAAAAGUAGCCCGGUGAGGGCGGUGAAAUAGAACCUGAAACCAUUUGCUUACAAAGAGUCGGAGCCCCGCUUAUAGCGGGGUGACGGCGUGCUUUUUGUAGAACGAGCCAACGAGUCCUCGCUCUCUCUUUAUCUAAGGGGUUUUGCCCCGGAGGUGAAGAGAAAUCGAGCGUUAAUAGCGCGAAAUUGAGAGAGGGCGGGGGACCCGAAGCCAAGCGAGCUUGCCAUGACCAAGGUGAAUCCCGCAGAAAUGCGGGAGGAGGCCUGAACCCGUGAGCCGUGCAAUACUCUGGGAUGAGUUGUGGUAAGAAGUGAAAAGCUAAACGAGCUUGGGAAUAGCUGGUUCUCCCCGAAAUAGCUUUAGGGCUAGCGUCCAUUAAAUCUUAUUUCCAGAGGUAGAGCACUAGAUGAGAUUGCUUGAGCUUUUGCUUAGUUUUCUCAACUAAACUCCGAAUGCUGGAAAUUUAAAAUGGAUAGUUAGACUGUGAGGGCUAAGCUUCAUAGUCAAAAGGGGGAAAGCCCAGAUCAUCAUCUAAGGUCCCAAAAUUUGAGCUAAGUGUAAUAAGGAAGUGGAAUUUCUUAGAUAGCUAGAAGGUUAGCUUAGAAGCAGCUAUCCUUUAAAAAGUGCGUAAUAGCUUACUAGCUAAGAGAUUUUGCGCCAAAAAAUUUAGGGGGCUAAAGCUCAAUACCGAAGAUAUGGUUGAGCAAUAACUUGUUUAUUGCUCGAGGUAGGGGAGCAUCCCGCCUGUUGUGAAGUCCCGUCGUAAGGCGGAAUGGAACGGGCGGAAGUGAGAAUGUUGGCAUGAGUAACCACAAUGCCGCUGAGAAAGCGGCAGUCCGCAAGUCUAAGGUUUCCUUGGCAAUGACAAUCAACCAAGGGUUAGGCGGUCCUAAGGUGAACCCGAAAGGGAUAACCGAUGGAUAGCCGGUUAAUAUUCCGGCCCCCGCGUACAUAAUUCUGAGAAGGGACACAGUCAAAGUUCUUGAGAAGAUUAUUGGAUUUCCAGGUUGGAGUAAUUCCAGCCGCCUCAAGGAUAAGACUGUCUAGAAAAGCUUUUCAGAAGUUAAUUAUGUGCUCGGUCCGUACCUCAAACCGACACAGGUAGACUAGUAUAAAUGUACUAAGGACAACGGGUGAAAGCUCUUGAAGGAACUAGGCAAAAAAGUGGUCGUAAGUUCGCGAUAAGACCUUCCCGCAGAAAUGCGGGACACAGCAAAAAUUUCUCUGACGACUGUUUAUCAAAAACACAGGUCCCUGCUAACUCGUAAGAGGAUGUAUAGGGGCCGAGACCUGACCAGUGCUGGAGUGUUAUCCUCGCCGGUCCAAGCCCAUAAGUUUUUAUGUGCUCGGGCUGAGUGAAUUAAGCCUCCAGUGAACGUCCGCGGUAACUCUGACCGUGUUAAAGUAGCGUAAUCCCUUGCCAGGUAAGUUCUGGCCCGCAUGAAAGGUUUAACGAUCGGAGAACUGUCUCCAAGAGCAGCCCGGUGAAAAUGUAAUAACGGUGAAGAUACCGUUUACCUGCGGCUAGACGGAAAGACCCCGAGAGCUUUACUGUAUGGUAAUAUUGAGCUCUGGGUUUGAAUGCGUAGUGUAGCGGGGAGGCGUUGAAGUUCCGCUUUCGGGCGGAAUGGAGCCAACAAUGAAACACCCGUCUUUUAAACUCUCAGUUCUAACUCUUGUUAAAAGCAAGAAAACAGUGUUACUUUGACAGUUUAAGUGGGGCGCUUGCCUCCAAAAAGGUAACGGAGGCGUUUAAAGGUCGGCUAACUCCGGAUGGAAAUCGGAGCGAUAGGGCAAAGCCAAAAGCCGGCUUUACAGCGAGACGUAUUUGUCGAGCUGUUGGGAAACCAGAACUUAGUGAACCGACGGAUUUUUAUAGAAAAUCCGAAGAUCAUCAACCAAAAGCUACCUCGGGGAUAACAGGCUGGUAGGGCCCGCGAGUCCAUAUCUACGGCCCUGUUCGGCACCUUAACAUAUCGGGGUGCUACAGUAGCAAUACUGUAUUCCGUUUAAAGCGGAACGAAAAAACUGACUUAUAACG